rnacentral:rRNA from 1 species
UACGAAGGGGGCUAGCGUUGCUCGGAAUGACUGGGCGUAAAGGGCGCGUAGGCGGCGCAUUUAGUCAGGCGUGAAAUUCCUGGGCUCAACCUGGGGACUGCGCUUGAUACGGGUGUGCUUGAGGAUGGAAGAGGCUCGCGGAAUUCCCAGUGUAGAGGUGAAAUUCGUAGAUAUUCGGAAGAACACCAGUGGCGAAGGCGACACACUGGCCCAUUACUGACGCUGAGGCUCGAAAGCGUGGGGAGCAAACAGG